rnacentral:rRNA from 1 species
ACUCAAAUGAAUUGACGGGGAGGCGCACAACCGGUGGAGCGUGUGGUUCAAUUCGAGACGAAGCGAAAAACCUCACCAGGGUUUGAAACGCUAGCGUUCUAUGCUUAUGAAAGUAGGCAAAUCCGCAAGGAGGCUAGUACAGGUGUUGCAUGGCCGUCGUCAGCUCUAGGCGUGAGCUGUAGGCUUAAGUGCCAUAUAGAGCGCAACUCUCACUUAAUGUUAAAUAUUCAUUAGGGACUGCUCCACGUAUAGUGGAGAGGAAGGUGGGAAAGACGUCAGGUCAGCACGACCCUUAUACCCUGGGCUACACACACCCUACAAUGGCGAAAAACAAUGAGUUGCAAGCCGGUAACGGCAAGCUAAUCUCUGAAAUUUCGCCCCAGUUCAGAUUGGGGGCUGCAACUUGCCCCCAUGAAGUCGGAAUCGGUAGUAAUCGCGGAUCAGCAGGCCGCGGUGAAUACGUUCUCGCCUCUUGUACACACCGCCCGU